CAAUUCUGACAUCGCCGAUGACAACGCUGGAUGCGUCAAUCAUGACGCGAAGACCGAUUUGUGGGAAAAAUGCUUUGUAGGGGCGCAGCUGAGCAGACAUAUAGACCUCAAAAUACGGGAACGUAAGAAGACUUUGGUGGCUUUUAUCUCCCUGUGCAACCCCUGAAAACGGUGAAAAUUGAGCAAAUCGUGCAAUUACACGGCGAAAAGGGUGAAAAAUCACCAUUCAGAAAAAAAGAUCGAAAAAAGGCUUGUGCAAAAAAAUGGGAUCCCUAUAAUGCGCACCCACUGACACGGCAGAUGUGAAUCACUUCACACAAACAGCCGGUUCGGUUGCAGAGAAAAAUCCUGAAAAACGGGUUGACUCUGAAAGAGGAAAGCGUAAUAUACGCCACCUCGCGACAGAGCGCUAAAGCGCGUCGCAACUGCUCUUUAACAAUUUAUCAGACAAUCUGUGUGGGCACUCAAAGUGACAUGGAUUCUUAACGUCCUCGGACGAAAAAUGAAUACCAAGUCUCAAGAGUGAACACGUAAUUCAUUACGAAGUUUAAUUCUUUGAGCAUCAAACUUAAAUUGAAGAGUUUGAUCAUGGCUCAGAUUGAACGCUGGCGGCAGGCCUAACACAUGCAAGUCGAGCGGUAGCACAGAGAGCUUGCUCUCGGGUGACGAGCGGCGGACGGGUGAGUAAUGUCUGGGAAACUGCCUGAUGGAGGGGGAUAACUACUGGAAACGGUAGCUAAUACCGCAUAANUCGAUUGACGUUACCCGCAGAAGAAGCACCGGCUAACUCCGUGCCAGCAGCCGCGGUAAUACGGAGGGUGCAAGCGUUAAUCGGAAUUACUGGGCGUAAAGCGCACGCAGGCGGUCUGUCAAGUCGGAUGUGAAAUCCCCGGGCUCAACCUGGGAACUGCAUUCGAAACUGGCAGGCUAGAGUCUUGUAGAGGGGGGUAGAAUUCCAGGUGUAGCGGUGAAAUGCGUAGAGAUCUGGAGGAAUACCGGUGGCGAAGGCGGCCCCCUGGACAAAGACUGACGCUCAGGUGCGAAAGCGUGGGGAGCAAACAGGAUUAGAUACCCUGGUAGUCCACGCCGUAAACGAUGUCGAUUUGGAGGUUGUGCCCUUGAGGCGUGGCUUCCGGAGCUAACGCGUUAAAUCGACCGCCUGGGGAGUACGGCCGCAAGGUUAAAACUCAAAUGAAUUGACGGGGGCCCGCACAAGCGGUGGAGCAUGUGGUUUAAUUCGAUGCAACGCGAAGAACCUUACCUGGUCUUGACAUCCACAGAACUUUCCAGAGAUGGAUUGGUGCCUUCGGGAACUGUGAGACAGGUGCUGCAUGGCUGUCGUCAGCUCGUGUUGUGAAAUGUUGGGUUAAGUCCCGCAACGAGCGCAACCCUUAUCCUUUGUUGCCAGCGGUNCGGCCGGGAACUCAAAGGAGACUGCCAGUGAUAAACUGGAGGAAGGUGGGGAUGACGUCAAGUCAUCAUGGCCCUUACGACCAGGGCUACACACGUGCUACAAUGGCAUAUACAAAGAGAAGCGACCUCGCGAGAGCAAGCGGACCUCAUAAAGUAUGUCGUAGUCCGGAUUGGAGUCUGCAACUCGACUCCAUGAAGUCGGAAUCGCUAGUAAUCGUAGAUCAGAAUGCUACGGUGAAUACGUUCCCGGGCCUUGUACACACCGCCCGUCACACCAUGGGAGUGGGUUGCAAAAGAAGUAGGUAGCUUAACCUUCGGGAGGGCGCUUACCACUUUGUGAUUCAUGACUGGGGUGAAGUCGUAACAAGGUAACCGUAGGGGAACCUGCGGUUGGAUCACCU
rnacentral:rRNA from 1 species